rnacentral:misc_RNA from 1 species
GCUCCCUUUUCACCCUGCAAGAGUAUAUCUCCCAGCUUAUUCCUUGCAAUCCCUGUACCAAGGAUUGCACCAAGGAAAUCACCAUGAGAACAAGGUUGAAAUGAAAAGUUCCCUGAAAUACUCAAGGCUGCAACAUUAUCUGGAUCACUUGUUAAUGCCUCCACGUGUCCAACUGAGAGUCGGCAUCGUUCAGCCUCUGGGUAUCCUCCUUGUGCAACUAUUCUGAGAUCAGCUAACCUUUCUAAGACUAGCAUUGACUCUUUUAAUACAGGUGGAGUCAGAAACUCAGUAUGUAAAACUUCUCGUCUUAAUGAUGCCCGUUUUGCCAGUUCAACAAUACGUUUCACAUCUUCAAUGGUGUUCUUGUCUCUCACUCCUUUCAGUAAAAUAUCAGCAUCACCCUUAAUAGCCUGUGGUAGGCUGCAUAUUCCAAAAGCUGAGGGGUGUAGAGGUGUUCGGAGGAUGAGGUUUG